rnacentral:rRNA from 1 species
GUGACCUCAAAUCAGGUAGGAUUACCCGCUGAACUUAAGCAUAUCAAUAAGCGGAGGAAAAGAAACUAACAAGGAUUCCCCUAGUAACUGCGAGUGAAGCGGGAAAAGCUCAAAUUUAAAAUCUGGCAGCCUUUGGUUGUCCGAGUUGUAAUCUAGAGAAGUGCUAUCCGCGCUGGACCGUGUACAAGUCUCCUGGAAUGGAGCGUCAUAGAGGGUGAGAAUCCCGUCUUUGACACGGACUGCCAGGGCUUUGUGAUGUGCUCUCGAAGAGUCGAGUUGUUUGGGAAUGCAGCUCAAAAUGGGUGGUAAAUUCCAUCUAAAGCUAAAUAUUGGCGAGAGACCGAUAGCGAACAAGUACCGUGAGGGAAAGAUGAAAAGAACUUUGGAAAGAGAGUUAAACAGUACGUGAAAUUGCUGAAAGGGAAACGCUUGAAGUCAGUCGCGUUGUCCAGGGAUCAACCUUGCUUUUGCUUGGUGCACUUUCUGGUUGACGGGUCAGCAUCAAUUUUGACCAUUGGAAAAAGAUUAGGGGAAUGUGACAUCUUAGGAUGUGUUAUAGCCCUUGGUUGCAUACAAUG